UACGAGGGGGGCUAGCGUUGCUCGGAAUUACUGGGCGUAAAGGGCGCGUAGGCGGCACUGUUAGUCAGGCGUGAAAUUCCUGGGCUCAACCUGGGGACUGCGCUUGAUACGGCAGAGCUAGAGGAUGGAAGAGGCUCGCGGAAUUCCCAGUGUAGAGGUGAAAUUCGUAGAUAUUGGGAAGAACACCGGUGGCGAAGGCGGCGAGCUGGUCCAUUACUGACGCUGAGGCGCGACAGCGUGGGGAGCAAACAGG
rnacentral:rRNA from 1 species